GACGAACGCUGGCGGCGUGCCUAAUACAUGCAAGUCGAACGAACCGCGACUAGGUGCUUGCACUUGGUCAAGGUGAGUGGCGAACGGGUGAGUAACACGUGGGUAACCUACCUCAUAGUGGGGGAUAACAGUCGGAAACGACUGCUAAUACCGCAUAGGACAUAGGAUCACAUGAUUCUGUGAGGAAAGGUGGCGCAAGCUAUCGCUAAGAGAUGGACCCGCGGUGCAUUAGCUAGUUGGUAGGGUAAAGGCCUACCAAGGCGAUGAUGCAUAGCCGACCUGAGAGGGUGAUCGGCCACAUUGGGACUGAGACACGGCCCAAACUCCUACGGGAGGCAGCAGUAAGGAAUCUUCCGCAAUGGACGCAAGUCUGACGGAGCAACGCCGCGUGAGUGAAGAAGGUCUUCGGAUCGUAAAGCUCUGUUGUUAGAGAAGAACAGCGCAUAGAGUAACUGUUAUGCGUGUGACGGUAUCUAACCAGAAAGCCACGGCUAACUACGUG
rnacentral:rRNA from 1 species